GGCCCAUUUGGAGGGGGUGAAGAUAUUGUGUUUGUCUGUAGGUAAUUUCCCUUUCCCUUUGCGCUCAUCUGCGGCUCAUGUCAACUGCAGGCGGGCAAAACAUGUGGAGACGAACCCGAGCACUGAGCAAGGCCCGCGAGUGAUCCCGAUAGCAGUGCGUGCCCAUUACCACACAUUACGGGUUUUUCCAUGUACAAAUGGGAUCCUGGCUUUGGAAUUAAGCUGUUUCGCGCGGCGAAAGCAAGGAAUACGGAAGAUACUAUCGGAGUGUGUUUGAGCCAAAUGGGUCGAACCAUUCAUUCACCCAAUUUUCGUUUUCGCGCCCAAGACCAUUAAAAAGACGCUAGUAGAUACGGUGUUGGUAGGGGGUCGUGUAGUUCAUCAGCCUGAGGACGAACCUGAAGUUUAGGGGCAGGAACGGUUCAAGACCGCAUAGGUGGUCGUGUAGUUCAAAAAUAGAUCCAGGAUCCAGGGGAAACCCGUUCGUCAUUAUGCAAUUUUAGGAGCUGACGAAUUGACGCAACGGAACGGUUUUAUGUGGGCAGAAGCUUCUCGAACUUUUUACCGUUUAUUUGUGGCCAUGCUUUGCGAUUGCGUCAUUAUCGGAACAGGGCUGCGAGAUUCGUUUGGAGGGCAAGUUUGGGAGAUGUUAUCCGUUAUGAACUUAAAGAUUAUACUUCUUUGUUUUAUCUUUGUCGUACACAAGGGUCGUUUUAUCCCUUAGGUUGUGGAGAAAGUAAAUUUAUAACUGAACACAUUCUAAAUGCCGCAGAUCUUGAAGAAGAUGGCGUAACCAGCAACUUAACAUGAUACUUGAAGAGGUCAGUACGAACUGCCACGAAGUGAAUAAACUGAAAGGCAAUAUUCAACAGAA